GGGAUUGCCUCAGUAACGGCGAGUGAAGCGGCAACAGCUCAAAUUUGAAAUCUGGCGCCUUGGGCGUCCGAGUUGUAAUUUGUAGAGGGAGUCUCGGGUUAAGGGUCGGUCCAAGUGCCUUGGAACAGGAUACCGAAGAGGGUGAGAGUCCCGUAUCCGGCCGACGCCAGCGCCCGUGUGAGGCCCCUUCGACGAGUCGAGUUGUUUGGGAAUGCAGCUCUAAAUGGGUGGUAAAUUCCAUCUAAAGCUAAAUACUGGCCAGAGACCGAUAGCGCACAAGUAGAGUGAUCGAAAGAUGAAAAGCACUUUGAAAAGAGAGUCAAACAGUACGUGAAAUUGUUGAAAGGGAAGCGUAUGUGGGCAGACUUGGACGCUGGAUUCAGGCCGCCUUCUGGCGGGUGUAUUUUCCAGCGGACAGGCCAGCAUCGGUUCUGAGGGCCGGACAAAGACGAAGGGAAUGUGGCUCCUCUCUGGGGAGUGUUAUAGCCCSGCGUGCAAUGCGGCCACUUGGGACCGAGGACCGCGCAUUUUGCAAGGAUGCUGGCGUAAUGGCCUCAUACGGCCCGUCUUGAAACACGGACCAAGGAGUCUAACAUCUAUGCGAGUGUUUGGGUGUCAAGCCCGGGCGCGCAAUGAAAGUGAACGGAGGUGGGAGUCUGUGUUAGAGCGGAUGCACCAUCGACCGAUCCUGAAGUAUUCGGAAGGAUUUGAGUAAGAGCAUAGCUGUUGGGACCCGAAAGAUGGUGAACUAUGCGUGAAUAGGGUGAAGCCAGAGGAAACUCUGGUGGAGGCUCGCAGCGG
rnacentral:rRNA from 1 species